rnacentral:rRNA from 1 species
UACGUAGGGGGCGAGCAUUGUCCGGAUUCACUGGGUGUAAAGGGUGCGCAGGCGGGAAAGUAAGUUAGAGGUGAAAUCUCACAGCUCAACUGUGAAACUGCCUUUGAUACUGCUUUUCUUGAGUUAGGGAGAGGUUGAUGGAAUUCCAGGUGUAGCGGUGAAAUGCGUAGAUAUCUGGAAGAACACCGGUGGCGAAGGCGGUCAACUGGCCCUAAACUGACGCUCAGGCACGAAAGCGUGGGGAUCAAACAGG